rnacentral:rRNA from 1 species
CACGUAGGAGGCGAGCGUUGUCCGGAAUCAUUGGGCGUAAAGAGCGCGCAGGCGGCUUGGCAAGUCGGGUGUGAAAUCCCGGGGCUCAACCCCGGGACUGCAUUCGAUACUGUCAGGCUAGAGGUAGGUAGGGGAGAUCGGAAUUCCUGGUGUAGCGGUGAAAUGCGCAGAUAUCAAGAGGAACACCGGUGGCGAAGGCGGUUCUCUGGGACGGUACUGACGCUGAGACGCGAAAGCGUGGGGAGCGAACAGG